rnacentral:rRNA from 1 species
CGCACGGGUGAGUAACGCGUAGGUAAUCUACCCUUAUAACUGGGAUAACAUUGGGAAACUGGUGCUAAUACCGGAUACACUUCCUUACUGCGGGGUAAAGGAGGAAAGGUGGCCUCUUCAUGAAAGCUACCGUAUAGGGAUGAGCCUGCGUACCAUUAGCUAGUAGGCGGGGUAACGGCCCACCUAGGCAACGAUGGUUAGCGGGUCUGAGAGGAUGAUCCGCCACACUGGAACUGGAACACGGACCAG